ACAACCCCCCUCACUCACUCUCUCCCCACAACUUGGAUAUUUCAGACCAAUUUGCUCUUGUCAGCUCAGCCACGAGACAGUUAAUUGCACGGCUACAAACAGGGAACCACGCACAGGACUUCAGGAAAGUCACCAGCAGGGACGAUGACACUCUCAAAAUGGACCCAGAAGAGCUGCAAAAUGACCAUAAUAAUGAUUUAGGAGCAGAAAUCCAGGCGGAGACGAGAGUCUAUCUGGCAUCCCCUUGUGGCUUUGCUUCUCCCUGCUGCGAUGGGAGAGCAAGUCACACAAGCAAAGGACACCCCAGACCUUCAUGGACUGGUGCCAGACCUCGUGGAAGAGAAGAGAGUGUCCUCACAUCGUUAUCUCUUCAACAUCUGUAGCCUGGAGUUCUGGGAUAAGGGAUCAAUAAUGAUGAAUCCAUAAUAAAGGCUCUGGAAGGA